CCCUUAGAUGUCCUGGGCCGCACGCGCGUUACACUGAUGCAUUCAACGAGCUUAUAACCUUGGCCGAGAGGCCUGGGCAAUCUUGUUAACGUGCAUCGUGAUAGGGAUAGAUUAUUGAAAUUAUUAAUCUUGAACGAGGAAUUCCUAGUAAACGCAGAUCAUCAAUCUGCAUUGAUUACGUCCCUGCCCUUUGUACACACCGCCCGUCGCGCCUACCGAUUGGAUGGUCCGGUGAAGCCUCGGGAUUGUGGUUCUUGCCGCUUUAUUGUGGCGUGACCGCGAGAACUUGUCUAAACCUUAUCAUCUAGAGGAAGGUGAAGUCGUAACA
rnacentral:rRNA from 1 species